rnacentral:rRNA from 1 species
AGAGUUUGAUCCUGGCUCAGAUUGAACGCUGGCGGCAUGCCUUACACAUGCAAGUCGAACGGCAGCACGGACUUCGGUCUGGUGGCGAGUGGCGAACGGGUGAGUAAUGUAUCGGAACGUACCUUUCAGUGGGGGAUAACGUAGCGAAAGUUACGCUAAUACCGCAUAUUCUGUGAGCAGGAAAGCAGGGGAUCGCAAGACCUUGCGCUGAUUGAGCGGCCGAUAUCAGAUUAGCUAGUUGGUGGGGUAAAGGCCUACCAAGGCUACGAUCUGUAGCGGGUCUGAGAGGAUGAUCCGCCACACUGGAACUGAGACACGGUCCAGACUCCUACGGGAGGCAGCAGUGGGGAAUUUUGGACAAUGGGGGCAACCCUGAUCCAGCCAUGCCGCGUGAGUGAAGAAGGCCUUCGGGUUGUAAAGCUCUUUCGGCCGGGAAGAAAUCGCAUAGGCUAAUACCCUGUGUGGAUGACGGUACCGGAAUAAGAAGCACCGGCUAACUACGUGCCAGCAGCCGCGGUAAUACGUAGGGUGCGAGCGUUAAUCGGAAUUACUGGGCGUAAAGCGUGCGCAGGCGGUUUACUAAGACAGGCGUGAAAUCCCCGGGCUCAACCUGGGAACUGCGCUUGUGACUGCUAAGCUAGAGUACGGCAGAGGGGGGUGGAAUUCCACGUGUAGCAGUGAAAUGCGUAGAGAUGUGGAGGAACACCGAUGGCGAAGGCAGCCCCCUGGGCCGAUACUGACGCUCAUGCACGAAAGCGUGGGUAGCAAACAGGAUUAGAUACCCUGGUAGUCG